rnacentral:rRNA from 1 species
ACCUGCGGGAGGCAGCAGUGGGGAAUUUUGGACAAUGGGCGAAAGCCUGAUCCAGCAAUGCCGCGUGUGUGAAGAAGGCCUUCGGGUUGUAAAGCACUUUUGUCCGGAAAGAAAUCCUUGGCUCUAAUACAGUCGGGGGAUGACGGUACCGGAAGAAUAAGCACCGGCUAACUACGUGCCAGCAGCCGCGGUAAUACGUAGGGUGCGAGCGUUAAUCGGAAUUACUGGGCGUAAAGCGUGCGCAGGCGGUUUGCUAAGACCGAUGUGAAAUCCCCGGGCUCAACCUGGGAACUGCAUUGGUGACUGGCAGGCUAGAGUAUGGCAGAGGGGGGUAGAAUUCCACGUGUAGCAGUGAAAUGCGUAGAGAUGUGGAGGAAUACCGAUGGCGAAGGCAGCCCCCUGGGCCAAUACUGACGCUCAUGCACGAAAGCGUGGGGAGCAAACAGGAUUAGAUACCCUUGUAGUCCCA